GAUGAACGCUGGCGGCGUGCUUAACACAUGCAAGUCGAACGGGAUCCAUCAGGCUUUGCUUGGUGGUGAGAGUGGCGAACGGGUGAGUAAUGCGUGACCGACCUGCCCCAUACACCGGAAUAGCUCCUGGAAACGGGUGGUAAUGCCGGAUGCUCCAGUUGAUCGCAUGGUCUUCUGGGAAAGCUUUCGCGGUAUGGGAUGGGGUCGCGUCCUAUCAGCUUGACGGCGGGGUAACGGCCCACCGUGGCUUCGACGGGUAGCCGGCCUGAGAGGGCGACCGGCCACAUUGGGACUGAGAUACGGCCCAGACUCCUACGGGAGGCAGCAGUGGGGAAUAUUGCACAAUGGGCGCAAGCCUGAUGCAGCGACGCCGCGUGAGGGAUGGAGGCCUUCGGGUUGUAAACCUCUUUUAUCGGGGAGCAAGCGAGAGUGAGUUACC
rnacentral:rRNA from 1 species